GACGAACGCUGGCGGCGUGCUUAACACAUGCAAGUCGAGCGGUAAGGCCCUUUCGGGGGUACACGAGCGGCGAACGGGUGAGUGACACGUGGGUGACCUGCCCUUAGCUCUGGGAUAAGCCUGGGAAACUGGGUCUAAUACCGGAUAUGACUCCAUGACGCAUGUUGUGGGGUGGAAAGCCUUGUGCGGCUAGGGAUGGGCCCGCGGCCUAUCAGCUUGUUGGUGGGGUGAUGGCCUACCAAGGCGACGACGGGUAGCCGGCCUGAGAGGGCGACCGGCCACAUUGGGACUGAGACACGGCCCAGACUCCUACGGGAGGCAGCAGUGGGGAAUCUUGCGCAAUGGGCGAAAGCCUGACGCAGCGACGCCGCGUGGGGAUGACGGCCUCGG
rnacentral:rRNA from 1 species